UACCCGCAGCACAAGUGGUGGUCAUUAUUAUUGGGCCUAAAGCGUCCGUAGCUGGCUUGUUAGAUGCCUGGGUAAAUCGAUGCGCUUAACGCAUCGAAUUCCGGGUAGACCGGCAAGCUCGAGACCGGGAGAGGUGUAGGCUACUCGGGGGGUAGGGGUAAAAUCCUGUAAUCCUUCGGGGAGGACCAGUGGCGAAGGCGCUACACUAGAACGGCUCUGACAGUGAGGGACGAAGCCCUGGGGCGCAAACCGG
rnacentral:rRNA from 1 species